rnacentral:lncRNA from 1 species
GCCCCCCGCCGGCCGGUGGAGGAACGCCGCCGCCGCCGUGCACGGUGGCCGGAAAAUUCAAAUCUUCACCAAAAUUAACAAACAAUAUAUCAUUUUAUUCGUUUCGAUGAGAGGAUCACUAAUAUGUAUUCAAAUCAAGGUGGGUGUGAACUAUUUGGCCGGAAAUUGACCGGAAAGGUUCGGUGAUACCCAUUUUGGGUUUUCCGAUGCCGGCUAUUACAGUCGACGAGGAGGCCACCAAAUGAAAGAGGAAGAAGAGAGGAGUCGAUCAACACCUACCUCGACGCCUCAAGUCAUCGGAAACGAUGGGAAAUCGCUGGAGAAGUUGUUGCAACGGUGCUAAAUGUUUCGGUUGAGAUUUCUCUCAAUCCGGGCUCAAAUUGCGCAAACCAAAGUUUAAAUAGAACUCCUUGCGACGAGUAGAUAUUUUUAGAGUAUCUAUUUGCCGAAUUUGACUGCCGGUGGUCGGAGAACGAGAAGAAAAGGGGAGGGGGAUUGUUGAGAGAGGAGAGCGAGAGAGAGACCACUGAGUCUCUCUUCUCGUUUCUCUUUUCUUUCUUUUCUUUUUCUUUUUUUUUUUUCUUUUUUUUUUUCUAGAAUUUUCUAAUUGGUGGAUGGGGUUUGGGUCGAUUCAAGUCUGGU